AUGGUGAUUAGCAGCCCUCCCCAAGGCUCAGAGGAAAUGUGCAGAAAGCUGGUGCUGUUCUUGACUGUAAGGACAGCCAUGGGGAUGGGAAGAAGAAAUGGGACGGUUGAGAGAAAUCCCACAACAUUCAGGUCUCAGCUUCCGCCACUAGGAGUUACAUCUCUCCAAGAGUUGAACUGCCUAAGACUUAACAAGAGUAAACCCAAGCUAUCUGGGAGCGGUGGGGUCUCAACUGCUUCACUUAAGCACCAGAGGUCUCUAGGCCUGAUUGGAAUGAAACCAGAGAAUCAGAAGGGACCGUAGAGGCUCAGCUUCCUGCCUCUGGCUAUAGUCAACUCCCAGGUACCUGGCUAAGGCAGCAGAGCUGUGACACAGCCCUCACCGAGUUCAGUAGAAAAAAUAAAUAAUUUCUUUGGACUUGUUAAUGCAGCAAUGUUUUUAUCUUCCAAAAACAUAUCUAUGUCUUUUGAAUUGUCUUAGGGAUUACAUCUGGCUGGGAAACAAAGGAGAGGGUAGCCUUGAUUAGGAAAAGGUAUCAGAUGAGAGUCAACAACACUAUUCCUGCUGCUAAUCUGAGGCCUGGGGUUGGGAUAAAAUCACUGCCUUUUAAUAUCAAGGCUUCAAUAAAUACUUGUUAGUAAAUGUAUUGACCUACUCCUUUUGUGAAGCUUUGUUCUUCUAUACCUUCCUGCCUCUUCCUGUUAACUUGUGCAUUUGGAAGGGGCUAACAAAGAAUCCCGGACAUCUGAAUUUGGGGACUUCAGAGGCACAUUCGAUAGACUGCAGCAGAAGCCUCGAGCUUAGGACACUUUCCCGACAAAAUAUCUAGGUUUAAUUCAACUCGUGACGUCAGUGGAAAGGGCGCAGAGGUGCCUCCACUGGUGGCCAUCAGCCAGGGUGCUCUGGAGCCUGCAGUAGGCAGGGCCGGCACACAGGAAGUCUAGAGCCUAGAGCCGCCUGCCUAUUGCUCACACUCAGUUCUUUGCACGAGGAGCAACACAAUAUCCAACUGCCGGCCCCUGCUAUUCUCCCAGGAGGAAGGUAACUUCUGUGGUUCAUAGAACUGUUUUAUGC
rnacentral:lncRNA from 1 species